GAGGAGACCAGGAAUAAUCAGAAGAGAACCAAUGCAUCCAUUAAAAAUCUGGAGAUUCAAUUGGGUCAGAUAGCACAACAGAUAACAAAUUUUCAAACACCGGGCGCAUUACCUAGGGCAACAGUGACAAAUCUGAGGGAGCACCAUAAUGUGAGUGCGGUAACAACAAGAAGCGGAAGAUAUGUUGAAGAGCGUAAGAAGAAGGAUGAAGAAG
rnacentral:lncRNA from 1 species